UACGUAGGUGGCGAGCGUUGUCCGGAUUUACUGGGCGUAAAGCGUGCGUAGGCGGUCCGCAAAGUCUGAUGUGGAAGCCCCGGGCUCAACCUGGGAACUGCAUUGGAAACUAACGGGCUCGAGUGUGGCAGAGGGGGGUGGAAUUCCACGUGUAGCAGUGAAAUGCGUAGAGAUGUGGAGGAACACCGAUGGCGAAGGCAGCCCCCUGGGCUAACACUGACGCUCAGGCACGAAAGCGUGGGGAGCAAACAGG
rnacentral:rRNA from 1 species